rnacentral:rRNA from 1 species
GUCUUUCUGAAAUUUUUAGAAAGUCUAACCUGCCCACUGAUGAUUUUAACGGCCGCAGUAUUCUAACUGUGCAAAGGUAGCAUAAUAAUUAGUCUUUUAAUUUAAGGCUGGAAUGAAUGGUUGGACGAAAUAUAGACUGUUUCAUUUAAAUUUAUUGUAGAAUUUUAUUUUUUAGUGAAAAAGCUAAAAUUUUUUUAAAAGACGAGAAGACCCUAUAAAGCUUUAUAUAAUUUAUUUUUAAAUAGUUUUAGAUAUUUUAUUGGUUGAAUAUAAAUUAUAUUUUAUUGGGGUGAUAUUAAAAUUUAAAAAACUUUUAAUUUUUAUAAACAUUUAUUUAUGAAUAAUUGAUCCGUUACUAACGAUUAUAAAUUUAAGUUACUUUAGGGAUAACAGCGUAAUUUUUUUGGAGAGUUCAUAUCGAUAAAAAAGAUUGCGACCUCGAUGUUGGAUUAAGGAAUAACUUUAG